rnacentral:rRNA from 1 species
CCUACGGGAGGCAGCAGUCGAGAAUCAUUCACAAUGGGGGCAACCCUGAUGGUGCGACGCCGCGUGGGGGAAUGAAGGUCUUCGGAUUGUAAACCCCUGUCAUGUGGGAGCAAAUUAAAAAGAUAGUACCACAAGAGGAAGAGACGGCUAACUCUGUGCCAGCAGCCGCGGUAAUACAGGGGUCUCAAUCGUUGUUCGGAAUCACUGGGCGUAAAGCGUGCGUAGGCUGUUUCGUAAGUCGUGUGUGAAAGGUGCGGGGUCAACCCGCGUAGGGCAGAUGAUACUGGGAGACUAGAGUAAUGGAGGGGUAACCGGAAUUCUUGGUGUAGCAGUGAAAUGCGUAGAUAUCGAGAGGAACACUGGUGGCGAAGGCGGGUUCCUGGACAUUAACUGACGCUGAGGCACGAAGGUCAGGGGAGCGAAAGGGAUUAGAUACCCCAGUAGUC